rnacentral:rRNA from 1 species
UACACACCGCCCGUCACACCAUGGGAGUUGGCUUUACCUGAAGACGGUGCGCUAACCGCAAGGAGGCAGCCGGCCACGGUAGGGUCAGCAACUGGGGUG